GCAAGCUUUUGGGCUCAGAAAGCUCAGACCAUCAUGGCUACGAAAACCGAACUGUUAGUCAGGAGAAAAAAAAAAAGCAAUUCUGGAGCUCCCUAGUGAAACGGCAAGGCAAAGCAACAUCAGAGCAGUUGCCAAGUGAUCUUCUCCACAGUACCCAUGAACUUCAGCCUUGAACUGAAGAGGACUCAUCAAAUGCUUGGGGUAUACAGCAUGGAAUUGGAAGAGAGACAGGGAUCUGCAUGAAGAACAGUCAACUGCAGUCUUGUGAGAAAUGGACAGAUUGCACGUGACUGAAGGACUGACUCAUUCACUUCACAGGCUCAGGGUUCUGUUUGUGAAAAUACAAUUGCAAGAUCAGGACCCUACUGUGACUCCUUACUGUGCAUACUGUCAGUGUGUCAUUGAUUGUGCUGGAACCUGCCUUAUGGGAUAAUUACCAAAUAAUAUAUUCCUCAAAACUUCUUAAUGGCCCUGAGGCUUUGUGGAUAGUUGAUCACAUGAUGAGAAAAUUCAGCUGUAAGUACACUGAAAUGAUUGAAUUUUUCAAUAGUUAGUCUUUUCUGAUAUUCACAUACUGCUAAGGAUAAAAAAGAUGAAUUGAGAGCUCUGGCUUAUAUGUGACUUCUGUUCUUUCUGGAAAAUUAUAUGCAAUAUUCCCAAUAGGGAUUUCAUUAUUCUCAACUAAUUUACCAYGUGAACCUGAAGUCCAGCAGUACUGCUGUUAGGUAGGAAAUGGAAAAUUGUCUUGUUUUCAAAAAUGCCAUGCCUCUGAUUUGCUCUUCACUUCUUCCCAUAACCUUUUCAAAAUGUAUAGAUCUAUAAAAACCUAUUUAUACUGCCAGUAUUUGUGUAGGUAUUGCAAACAAGUUUACUAACAUAAUUGUCUUCUGCUGAGUGGAAUACUGAAAAGUUAAUAAAUGUGUGUUUAUAUUUGUGUCAGUGUAACUUGACUAAAUUAAACUAAACGGAUCUGGCAUUUUGAGUGAAUUUAAUCAUGCA